AUGCGUCCAGUACUAGCAUCGAGACACUUAUUGAAUCAGCACACGGCCUGCGGCACGCUCUACCGCUGCAGGUACACCGCCUUCAGCCCCUACGGCGAGCGGUGGCGUCAAAACCGCCGCAUCGCCGUCGUGCACCUAUUCAGCGCCAAGCGUGUGGACUCCUUCCGCACGCUCCGGGAGGAGGAGGUCGCGCGCUUCGUGGGAUGGAUCCAUGCAGUGAAUGGCGCCCAAGAGAACUGCAGCGAGCGCCGGGGAGUCAACGUGACCGAGCUCAUACUAAGCUUAACCAACACCGUCAUCUCGAGGGCGGCGUUCGGGAACAAGCUCGGAGGAGUGGAACCAGGGAUGCUCCGGGAUCUGAUGGGAGAGAUCAGCGAUUUGCUCGGUACCAUCGCCAUGAGCGACGUGUUUCUGCGACUCCGUUGGGUGGACUGGGCAACAGGGCUCGACGCGAGGGUGAAGAAGGCGACGGCUAAGCUCGAUAACAUUCUCGAGAAGGCGGUCCAGGAGCACAAGAGAAGCAAAGGAGACGACGGCGGCGAGGCUGGUGACCUCCUGGACGACUUGCUCUCGGUCGUCAAGGAUGGUGAUCAGGGGUUCAAGCUGGACCGGACUGAUGUCAAGGCAAUCACCUCAGACAUGUUCCUGGCAGGAACAAACACGACUUCUAAGAUGAUAGAAUGGACCAUGGCCGAGCUCGUCAAUAACCCAAGAGAAAUGGAGAAGGUGCAGCAAGAGGUGAGACGGGUUGUCUUGUCGGUGCACGAGCACGAGUCAUGGAGGAGGAUGUGGAGAAAAUGA
rnacentral:rRNA from 1 species